GACGAACCGAGCGAACGUUGUUCGGAAUCACUGGGCUUAAAGGGCGCGUAGGCGGGUUCUCAAGUCCGGGGUGAAAUCCCACAGCUCAACUGUGGAACUGCCUCGGAUACUGGGGGCCUCGAGGGUGGCAGGGGUAUGCGGAACUAUCGGUGGAGCGGUGAAAUGCGUUGAUAUCGAUAGGAACUCCGGUGGCGAAGGCGGCAUACUGGUCCACUUCUGACGCUGAGGCGCGAAAGCCAGGG
rnacentral:rRNA from 1 species